rnacentral:sRNA from 1 species
UAUCCAAACUUACUGCAGUCUUCGGGUA